GACAAGGAGGAAAUAAAUUGUAAAUUUCAAGACUCCUGGGGCCUUAGGGACAGGGCAAAAAUUGACCAAUUUUCUAAAGUCUUCUCUACAAUUGGAUAUCUUAAAGAAAAACUAAAUGCAUAAUGAUAUACAGCAGAAAUGCCUCUACCAAAUUAUAAAUUUUAUGAUCCCCGGGGUAGAGAUUCUAACUCCAGGACGGGAUCAAACUUGGUAUAUACAGUGUAUAUGUGAAAAACAUGUAAAUUAUAUUUGCUUUAAUGCUAUUGAUACUAAAUAUUGAAACUAAAUGGAUAUUUAGAAGGAGUAGAUAGUCCUUUACCAAAAUUGUAAAUCUCAUGGUCCUAGGGGGUACGGGUUUGGUUUCAGGGUGGAGCCAAAAUUAUUAUAGUGAUUAUUGUCUUUUUCAUUCGAAUGACUUCUUUAACUAUACUGGUGCAACAAUCCCAGGGUUUUGACUUUAGGGUGGGUUCAAAAUUAGUGACAUCGUUUAAUGAUAAUAAAUAUAUCAUAUUAUGUGAAGCCUUUCAUGAGUAUAUGCACUUUUAAGGACAUUGAAGUUUUAAAAACACAUAUUGUUUUAUAUUAGAAUUUAGCUUUGAUGUUCAGAACAGGCUUUCCCCUAUAUUUUAGCCCUUGGGACUGGUGAUACUUUUAACUAGUACUCAGGUGACAAAUAAGGCCUAUGGACCACUUGUUCAUUUGCACUGUAUUACUUUUCACUUGUAUUGAAUCCGAAGGAUUGUUGAUUUUGAUUUGUUAUGAAGGAUUUCACUGCUCAAGUUUUAGACUGUACGAUGUUGAAAACCAGCGAGAUAUGUCUGAUCAACAAGAAAGUGGGUCUCUUUGUUUGAACAGGAUUAGAUAAAUACGAGGUCGAUAAGCAAGGGUAAUGUAUUUUAUCAAUACUAGUAAAAAUUUGUAAAUUAAUUUUAAUACAAUUUAAUUUGUUAUACGUUGUGAUGUGUAGAAAUAACUUACAUUAAUGUUCUUCAAGCAUUUAAAUUUUUGAAUGUGAAAAAUAUACACAUUGACUGUUUAUAUUUAAAGGCAUCUUUAUUUGAAUGAUGAAAGCUUAAUUCCUGAUAAUUUACAGGAAUCAGUAGACAACGGUAUCGGGAACUGGCUAGACAACAGGAGAGUUUUGAGUGGACAUGUGCUGACUGCAGCGGAACCACCGGGGCAGCAGCAGUUGAUGAAUCAGCAGAAACAAUCGCAGAUGAGCCUGUCAAUGCCACCUUCCACCUUUCCAUUUCUGGUCUAUCAACAAAUCAGGAUGACAGACAAGUGACAGCAGCUGAUGAAUCUGAAGCAGAAAUGAUUGCAGAUGAGCCUGUGAAUGCCAUCUUCCGCCCAUCCCUCUCUGGUCUAUCAAGAAAUUAGGAUGACAGAGAAGAAGAUUCCUUACUUUCUGACAACUCGUAUGAUGUUCCUGAUGCCAUCCAAUAGAAUUCGAUUCGAGAUGAGACCAUUGAUGACAUCACUCACGCAGAUGACGUGGAGCCUGAGUAUGAAGUUGUGUAUAGUGUUUUAUGUAAGAAAUCUGUAUUAAUUCUUUUUAGUGCUUGUUCUUAAUUUAUGAAAGAUGUUAAGCAGUUAUGUGAAUUAGUGUUUGUAUGUAUUGUGAUCAUCUGUAUUUUCAUUGCAUAGUGGUAUUAAGUGUCAAAGUAUGCAAUAUCAUUUAGUGCUUUUUCUUUAUACAUGUACUCUAUCAGUUGUGUAUUAGUUUUUGUGUUAAUAU